rnacentral:rRNA from 1 species
GACGAACGCUGGCGGCGUGCCUAAUACAUGCAAGUAGAACGCAGUUGCGAAUGGGUGAGUAACGCGUAGGUAACUGCCUGGUAGCGGGGGAUGACUAUUGGAAACGAUAGCUAAUACCGCAUACUACCAGAUGGACCAGCGUUGUAUUAGCGCGAUGGUGGGGUAACGGCUCACCAAGGCAACGAUACAUAGCCGACCGGAGAGGGUGAUCGGCCACACGGGGACUGAGACACGGCCCAGACUCCGACGGGAGGCAGCAGUAGGGAAUCUUCGGCAAGGGACGGAAGUCUGACCGAGCAACGCCGCGUGAGUGAAGAAGGUUUUCGGAGCGUAAAGCUCUGUUGUAAGAGAAGCGGUAUCUUACCAGUAAUGGACGGCUAACUACGUGCCAGCCGCUGCGGUAAUAC